GAAAUUGCAUGUUUUUAUUGUUAGUUUAGUCAAGUUUAAGUGUUAAGGGCCUUAAAUGGCUACUUCCUCUAAAUAGAUUUGAGGGAAUCCUUAUAUGUAUUAUAUUGGAUUUGAGAAAAACCUAGUAUUUGAGUUUUUAGUUAAUGUAUGUGAAAAUUAAGUAUGAUUUCAAGUUAUUUUUUACCCUACAGAUGUGUGUAUGUGUUUGGUUUGUAUAUUGGAACUUUGGAAUGAGUUGGUAGCUUUUCGAAAAUUUGAAUCUAUAGGUUUUCGACUUGAGAAUUCUGAAAAUUCUAGAAAUUUCCAGGUUUAACUGCCGAAAACCAUAGUUUCAGCAGCGAAAUCAUGCAAGUUCACGGAAAAUCUGAAAAAUUUUCAAGUUCGACAGCCGAAGUCCAAGACUUCGGCACUCACAGUCAGCACUGGACUAAAAGGCCAUCCAAAGCCUGAGACUUUCGCAGCCGAAAUCCAGGACUUUGGCAGC
rnacentral:misc_RNA from 1 species